AGAGUUUGAUCCUGGCUCAGGAUGAACGCUAGCUACAGGCUUAACACAUGCAAGUCGAGGGGCAGCAUUUUAGUUUGCUUGCAAACUGAAGAUGGCGACCGGCGCACGGGUGAGUAACACGUAUCCAACCUGCCGAUAACUCCGGAAUAGCCUUUCGAAAGAAAGAUUAAUACCGGAUGGCAUACGAAUAUCGCAUGAUAUUUUUAUUAAAGAAUUUCGGUUAUCGAUGGGGAUGCGUUCCAUUAGUUUGUUGGCGGGGUAACGGCCCACCAAGACUACGAUGGAUAGGGGUUCUGAGAGGAAGGUCCCCCACAUUGGAACUGAGACACGGUCCAAACUCCUACGGGAGGCAGCAGUGAGGAAUAUUGGUCAAUGGGCGAGAGCCUGAACCAGCCAAGUAGCGUGAAGGAUGACUGCCCUAUGGGUUGUAAACUUCUUUUAUAAAGGAAUAAAGUCGGGUAUGGAUACCCGUUUGCAUGUACUUUAUGAAUAAGGAUCGGCUAACUCCGUGCCAGCAGCCGCGGUAAUACGGAGGAUCCGAGCGUUAUCCGGAUUUAUUGGGUUUAAAGGGAGCGUAGGCGGAUUGUUAAGUCAGUUGUGAAAGUUUGCGGCUCAACCGUAAAAUUGCAGUUGAUACUGGCUGUCUUGAGUACAGUAGAGGUGGGCGGAAUUCGUGGUGUAGCGGUGAAAUGCUUAGAUAUCACGAAGAACUCCGAUUGCGAAGGCAGCUCACUGGAGUGUAACUGACGCUGAUGCUCGAAAGUGUGGGUAUCAAACAGGAUUAGAUACCCUGGUAGUCCACACAGUAAACGAUGAAUACUCGCUGUUUGCGAUAUACAGUAAGCGGCCAAGCGAAAGCGUUAAGUAUUCCACCUGGGGAGUACGCCGGCAACGGUGAAACUCAAAGGAAUUGACGGGGGCCCGCACAAGCGGAGGAACAUGUGGUUUAA
rnacentral:rRNA from 1 species